ensembl:lncRNA
GCACUUUCACACUUUCCCCUCAGCCCCUGGAUCGCUCCAUGCCUUCACACGCCGCUUUCUGAACUGAAAAAAAAAAAAAGAAAGAAAAAAAAAGAAAAAAAAGGAAAAAAAAGAGAGAAAAAAAAUCAAAAGUGUGGGUUUCCAUGGAGACAAGAGUGCUGCUCUAAAAUCUGAGGGCAGGCAAGCUCUGGAUUUGGUGUUUUGAUGCAGAUGCUUGGGUUCAACUUUAGAGGAAGAGGUUGGCUCAGACUGGAGCUGUUUGGAGGGGCUGGUUUUUGGUGGGUGGUGUUCCAUAGGAUUUGGGAAAUUCCAUUGAAAAGGGGGAAGAAAACCCUCUUCAGUCCUUUAAUGGGGAAAAGGACCCACAAACAAUAGGAAUGAUGGAGUCAUCUGCAGCACAUCCUCAAGGUGUCCACAAUGGAAGGUCCAACCUCCACCUGGUGCCAGCAGGGAGAAGAUGUGUCCUCUCCUGGUCCUGAAGCACUGGAGAAAGCAUGGAUGGCUUGACACAGGGCCUUGGACACUUCCAGGGAUGGAGCAUCCACAGCUUCAAUGACACAACAACUAAAGGUGGGAGGCAGCCUGGACACAUCCCCAAAAGCAGGACCAGGAGUGUCGCUGUCCCACGGAGACCUGUGAACUGCCUCCUGACACUAAGGAAAUGGAAGAAGACACAGCCCCUGCCAUUAAUGGGCAUUGCUCGUUAUCAACCAAUAACUGAUGGAUUUGUCAAUAUCUGGGAUUGGCUGAGCACAAAGGGAAGGGCUGAGAAGGGCCCCCAGUGGUGCCUCUGCCUCUCUCAGCGCUGUGUGCAGGGCAGUGCCUGAUAAUUUAUUUAUCCUAAUCUGGCAGAGCCAGAAGGACAUGGAGGAGAAGGGGGAGCCUGGGUGGGUCAUUUUCAUUUUUAUGUCUCCAUUAAUGUCCACUAAUGCAGCAUCACUUUUAAGUACUCAUUCCUUCUCCUCACUGCACAAAUGCCUGCCCAUUUCUCCUGCUGCAGACACAAACCCGGGCUUGGGAUCGGCUCCAAGCAGUGAAAGUCUUUAACUACCCUUAAUUAAAGGGCAUUUGGGCAGCAAGGGCUGAUGAGAGGUGACAGCAGGAGUGUGUCCCUCCAUGUCAGGCUGUGACCUGUGAUGCUGCUGGGAGGGGCAGGUUGGUACCACUGGGGUUGACACAGGGAGGUUUCCUCAAUCUCUGGACACCCUUUAAUUGUGGUGAUGGGCACAUGGACACAGAGCAGAUUUGUAGGGUUUUGUCUUUGGUUAGCAGGGAAAAACAAUCUCCAUUUUCAGCUCUGAGCAAGUCCUGGGCACACGUCCAACCCCAAAUCCCAGCACCUGCAUCCUGGACAAGAAGUUUUUGGACAUGAAGCAUCACUUUUGGUGUGACAGUUAUGUUUUUAUUUGAAUGCAACAUUAGCUUUGAUAAAUAUAUCACAACAACAGCUGGAGCUGAGGGUUUCCUUUGUGCCCAUGGAUACUUGCAUUACAUGAAGCCUUUUCUCUCCAGACCUUAGAUAUUCUGUCCUCAAGAUGUGACAUUCCACCUCAAUCUUUGGUGACAGAGGAAGGGUUUCUUUUUCUCGCCAUCUUUUUUGUUCCUAAUUCCUCAGUUUUCUCUCCUGCAGCACUCAUGGAAUUACCCUUAUGGAGACAAAUCUGUGCUGCCCACAUAAGGCUCCUAGAGCACUCAGAAAUGCUCUUUCUCUGUGGCUGCAGCAAUAAAUGUUAUUAUAUAGAAAUGUGGUGUUAUCCC